rnacentral:rRNA from 1 species
UACGUAGGGGCAAGCGUACUACCGGAAUUACUGGGCGGUAAAGGGUGGCGUAGGCGGUUUAUCAAGUCAGGGGUGAAAGGCUACGGCUCAACCGUAGUGAGCCUCUGAAACUGGUGAACUUGAGUGUAGGAGAGGAAAGUGGAAUUCCCAGUGUAGCGGUGAAAUGCGUAGAUAUUGGGAGGAACACCAGUGGCGAAGGCGACUUUCUGGACUACAACUGACGCUGAGGCACGAAAGCGUGGGGAGCAAACAGGAUUAGAUACCCCGGUAGU